AGUUGUAAUGAGGUAAUGAAAUAUCAAGACUAUCUUCACUAAAUCAAAUGUUAAACCUUGUUUCUUCUUGAAGAGCUGGAACAAGAAAGUCUGUAGUAGGAUGUACAGAAGUUUCUUGGGUGAGAGCUGGGCACAAGAGUUGGAAUCUGGCAGUGAUCACAAAGCCACAUGUAAAAGGAUGUACACGUUUGUAGUUGCCAGGCUGGUUUUACAAUGUUUGAGAGAUGUCUCCAACAGUGUAUAUUUUGUGUGUGUACGUGAAGAGAGUAAAUUUCACUUUGAGUGAAUAAGCCUCUGGGCUUAUUUUUUCCCAACACUUUUGUGUAAUCACUAGAGCGUGCCACCUCCUUUAGCUAAUAUUUGUAGUAACUUUAUAUGUUAAAACAAGGCUGUGUAGUAGCUGUUGGUAGUUUAACCAUGUGGCUGCAAAAUUAACCUUUGACCUUUCUGAGUCUAAUCAGGAAAUUGACUUUGAGUUAUUCCUUAACGUGGGAUAUGUGGUUAAAGUUAAACAUCACUAAUAGGAAAUCUAGUAACAGGAAAUGUGUGAAUGCUAAUCCAUACAAACAUAAACAAACCUUUGGCUUACAUACAGUUUUAUUGGAAUUUUCCUCUUGACUCACUUUCCUUCAGUAAGCCAGAAAAAAAAAAUUACAAGAGCUUGUUAAAGUCUUUGAAAGACUUCAACUUUUUUUGUGGCUACGAAUUUAUUAGAUUUCUACUUAAGAAACCUUUAAAAUGGGGGUAGGAUUUUGUCAAGAAUCAACUAUGGUCAGUUCACCUUCACUACAGUUCUAAUUAAUGAAGUUAUUCACCAGAAAUGUCUACUUCCUAAGGCUCAAAACAAGAAUGCUCCGCAUUAGAGUGCUUUAUUUAUGUGCGACUCAAAAUUGGAUAAUUUUGAGAAAAAGAAUUAAUAGAAAUGCCUACUUCUGUAAGAUUGUUUUGAAGCCUCUUUAGAAACAAGUUUGUCAGAAAAAGCCUGUAAUGAAUACAAUUCCAGUUCAGAAAAUUAUCCAUGAGAAUUUGAAAGAUUUUGAUAGUUCUCAUUGGAUCCUUUUUACAUCUCAGUAGGAAGGUAGGCUAGUGUGACCUGAAGCUAUGCAUUAAUCAGCUAAUCACUAUAGGUACAAGUACAGACUUCAGCUUGGAAAACCUUUGAAUUUUACUGUGGUUUUCAUACUAAAUCCACAAAAUCUUCACAUUACUAUUGAGCUCCACAGUUCAAUGGGAUAUUGUGUAUGUCCACUGACACAGAUCAGCUUCCAGGAUUAGGGCCAAGGUAAUUUUAGUGGGAAGAGCUUCCUUGAAGUCAGGAGAAAAAUCCUAGGGGAGCAGAACAAUAGUCAGGUCUGAAAAGAUUGUUUCUCAAAACAGAAAAGAACAAGAUAACUCUAAAACACUAUCUUACAGUUUAUGUAGUUCCUCUCUUAACCUCUCCUGAAUAAAUAAAUCAGUGCUAUUCACCAAAGAAACAGGCCAAGUAUUUACUACGCAUAUUAAAGCAAGGAGCAUGUAAGCCAUCAGAAUAAUUUCAUAAUGACGUGUCUUCUCUUCAUGUGUAUUUACAACACUAUCUAACCCACAAAAGACACAACUCAUGGCAUUUCUUUGCAGAUAAUUUUGUUCCUAAGGGAACAUUGUCAACAAAGUUCUUAAGAUGUGCAAAUUAUGUUAGCUUCAGUAAAAAUGUUAUUGGAUGUAAAAUGAGUAUCAGAUGAUUAUCUAAAAUGUGUUUAAUGAUUAAGAACUGCGAAGUAAAUUGUAUGAGUAUUACAUCAGUCCAGUCUUGUUAAAAAAAAUUUGGGAUAAAUUCUGUUUACCUUGAUAUAGUGUCUCCUACAGACCUCAUAAAACCUUCUCCUUAGGGCACAGUAAAGUUCCACUCCCCUUUGAGUAUUCAGCCUUCUUUCUAUUUUCAGACUGCUAUUUGCAGACAGCAGCAUUGUAGUCAUUCACACUACUGUUGUCCAAAAACUUCUCGCCUACAGUACCCAGGCAAACAUGAAAAAUUGGUUUAUAUCACAGCCUCAUUAAACAAAUAUUUUACAAAGUGGCAGUGAUGAUGACUGAGGAAUACGCAGCCUGCAGGAUCCCUUCCACUAAAAUGUAGUCAUGUUUUUUAAAAAGUUACUAUCUAAAGGUGUGAGUAUUUAUACAGGCAAAUGUUAGGGUCUGGUUCUUUCAUUGCUCUCCUGGAGUCAUUCCUGAAGUCAAUAAAUUUAAAAAUACUUCAGGAUUUCAUUUUUAGUUAAUGGAAUUUAAUGAAAAAAAACCAACAAACCUGUAAAGAAGAGGUGGAGUGAGCCUCAGAAUAGUAUUACGCCACUUUUUGCUAGCUAGAAUAAAGACUUUCUUUUCUUCUCUUUUCUUUUUCCCUUCCCUGUUACUGUUUGGCAAGGAACUUCGUUGGUUCCCUUGAACAACAAUCUUUUAUGGUGAAUUUCAGUCAUGCAAUAAAUUUAGUAUUUUUGAAUACUCGAACCUUGCGAUGCUAAUCUUUUUCCACAGGAAAAAACUCCUCGCUUUUUCUAUGAGUCUACUUUUUUCCUCUUCAAAUAUUGUUUCUUGUUUUCUUCUAAAAACUGCUGGAGCAUUUGGGAAAGAAGUCUGUUCUUAUGAGACUUGUUUUGAUAGAAUAGAAAUCACUGUUAACCAGAUAGUGCAAAUCAUAAUCCUUCUUUACUUCAGUGCCUUAAGGCUGGCAUUCUAAUGAGAAUUGUAAUUUACCUAGUUAAAAGCUUAUCUGUGAAAUGAAGCUGUCCCUUGUGUUGGGGUGAAAACAGAACUGAGUGGAUGUACCUAGUGAGAGUGUAUAUCACAUACAUCUCCCAGGAAAGUGAGAUCUUGUAAGUUACCCUGAAGACCAGACCUGAGGCCUUGUAGCUGUAAGUUCUGGAACAAAUAAUGAGGAAACCAUCUCAGGUUUCAUACUUCACACUCAUGUUUAUCUUCUGAUACACCAGAGGAUUGUACUCCCAUCCAGUGAGAGCUGAACAAGCUGGAGAAGUUGACGGAAACCUUGUAAAAUUCAGCAGAAAGAAGUGCAGAGUCCUGCACCUGGGAAGGAACAAGCCCAUGCACCAGUAUAAACUGGGAGCUAAUCAACUGGAAAGCAGGUUUGCAGAAAGGGACCUCUGGAUCCUGGUGUAACCAAGUUGAACAUGAGCCAGCAGUGUGUUCUUGUGGCAAAGAAGAAUAUAAGUAUUCUUGUACUGUAAACUUACAUCUCAUUUAGCCCCAGAUGCCAUCCUUUCUGGUGUUCUCAGACUAAGAUCUAGUAUUAAAAAAUCUAGAAUCAUGUUUACCUGUCCUCCAUCUUCAAUCGCCAUUGGAAGAAGCAGGCGCAUUUCUUAUGUUUUAGUUUGUAUAUGGGAUGUUGCCAUCUAGAGUCAUCAGUCUGGACCAAUACUUUCAUAGACAAAAGCAAUCCAUAAUCUUGUUUAGUUGUUCAAUUCUUCAAGAGAUUUUUAUACAUCAUAAAUAACAAAACUGAAGCCUUGCCUCCUACAUAGGCAAACCAACACUUUUCAAUUUUUGUUGUUAAACUGUGUAUCUAAAUAAGCAAUGGGUUCUAAUCAAGCUUUUUCAUACCAUGAAUGUUCCAUAUCCAGAACUGGUGGCUCAGUCUUCUUUCUAUAUUGCAUGCACACCUGCUUCCUCAUCUAUAAGGGUUGUUUCUCAUUCACAAGUCUCACAGUUAUAUUCAUUCAGAGUUAAUGGCAGAUAAGGUCCAUUAAUUUCAAACUGUUAUUACGACCAUGCAGGCUACACAGUGCAUAUUUUAAAGUAGUUUGAGUAAAUGCUUAUACAAAGGAUGUGAAUGGUGAUUGCAGAUUUACACAUGCUGAAAGAACAGCAGCAGUACGCUGUGUUGUCUUUUAUACGGCUAACAAGCUUUAUAAAGGAAUAUUUCUAUCACAGUAUUAUGGUGAUAGCCAGCAGUAAAUCUGUGUGAAAGCCUUUUUAGCAAAACCAGUGCAACUCAAAGAACUGUCUGUUGGUUCUGGUGCCCUAAUGAACUCAGAACUGCUCAGAUCUUGUUUAAAUCUUGACAAAAAGAUGGAAGAUGACCUCCUACGGAAAAACAAAAAAAAUCCAAAAAAAUGGUGAGGGAGGGGAAACCAACCAACUAAACCCCACCUGCAUUGUCUGUCUAAGAAAAGAAGAGCGAUGGCAAAUUCUGUUCAACAUGAUCCUACAACCCAAAUCAAUUUGGAGCUCCUUACCUAUUCUCGCAUUAUGGGAGAGACCUAUUAAAAUCUAGGACUAUUUCAGGAACUCUUUAAUGAAUGGUGUCUACACCUUAGUGAACCUUCCAUUUUAUCAACCACUCUCUCAUGGCUGAGGGUCUGCAGCACAUCUUUGGCAGCUCUUUUAUAAAAUACUUCAAAAUCAAAACAAUUUAAAGUCAGAAACUGGGAGUGGAAGCUGAAAGUCCCUGCUGAUUUUCAUUCUGCAUCACUCUUAGGAAUUUGUUUUUUUUUUAAGAAUGGCUGGAAACUUCAAUUUUGAAACAUGCUAUUUAGUCAACCCAAAAUAUUUUGCUACAGUUCCCUCCACUGAAAAGCCUCCUUGACUUAACUCAAAAUGUCUGUGUUUAGCAUGUAAGUUUUUUUGUGGUUUCAUGCAUUUCCUUCUCUUCCUGAUACAGCAAAGGCAUCUCUGUGUCGAGCUGUCACAUCCAAAAGAGGCUGACAGCAUAUGAAGGCAGAGCAGUAUGCUUUGAUGAGAAAAUGCAAAUCCCAAACAAAACAUUUGCAGAACUACUAAUCACUAUAUCAGUAAAACUGAACAAUUAUAUUUUUUUUAUAGAAUGAGGUAAGGCUGACUCCUUAUAAGAAAUCCAACAAAUAACUUCAUAUACACACAUCCCAUUUAUUUCUGCACCAGAGGCUAAUUUUUACCUGAUUGAGAUUAAUGUCAAACUCCCCCUGUGUAUUGUGCAACCGAGGUUUGAUCUUUUUUGGUCUAAGCACUGCUUUAUUAGUAGUUCGAGAACUUGUAUGGCGUAGCAGGAAGCUACCAGAGGCAAAAUAUGCACUUAAUGUUAAGACAAAGAUCGAAAUCAGGUGAGGUUGACUUCUUUUUUUCUUACUUGGUUCUUUACAAAAUUAAUGCAUCAUUUUAUUCAAACUACUCUGGCAAAUACAGGCAAAAGGAGUUUCUAAAUCUGGAAGAGGGUUUGGCAUUCUGAAUCGGGUUUAGAAAUUUUGGGCAACACAAGCUGCCAUUAGUUUUCAUGGUAAUGAAUGCUGCACUUUGAAAUGAGAGGACUGGCUCUUCAUAGCCGGUGAUGCAAAAGCAAAAGUAGACAAACUCACAGACAAUUGGAAAAGUAUUGGGCUUAUUUUUAAUUUUAGUUCUUUGACUUUACUAUAAUUGUAGCUAAUUCAUUAAUUGCUGUUUGCAAUGCUAUUGUAUUAAGAAAAAUGUGUAUCUACCAGUCUGUUUGCAUGAUUUGUAUUUUGAUAUAUUUCCCUUAUUUAGUUCAACUUUUACCAUACCACCUACCGGGAAAAAUAAUUUAAUUUAGCAAAAGCUAUUUUCAUUCUGAGCAAACCUUGAUUUAAAGCUAUGGGGAUUGUAAUUACAUUUAAUUAUAAUGAGUUUGGGUUUUGAAAAAACCUCAAUAGUCUAGUUUGGGUUUUAAAUUCCCACAUCAGUUCAUGGUGGGCCUAAAGACUGGCAGUUCACUGCAUUAUGUUUCAUACUUUUUUCCACCAGUAGAGCUUGGCUAGGAAAUUGAACUUACUCCAAGGUUUAAAAUUUUCCAAUUUUCUAUGUUUAAUAGAAACUGGGACUUUGGGUUAAAUUUCUAAGUGCACGCUUGCAGGUAAGCAGUACCUGGACUUACAUGUUGGCAUAGACCUACCCAAGAACAUAGUUCACUGGAAAGAAACAUUACCUCCCUCUGGACUUUUUUCCCUUCUGACCAUCACUAGCCAAAGGGCAAACUUUCUCAAAGGCUUUGAAGCCAGUAAAAGCAAAAUGUGUUUAUUAGAGACUAAGCUCAAGAAAAGAACUACAUGGGGCAUGGAGCUGUCCUAAGUUCAAACAUUUCUGGUGAAGGAUGUUUAACCUGAGAAGCUUUGGUUGUAGUGUUAGAGUGUAGGAAGGGAAGUGACUUUGAAAGGGUGUUACUUUGGAUGAGAGGCAGAAGGGGUAUCCCCUAGUAGUCGCUUCUGGUAAAGAACUGUUCCUUCAAUUACCAUGCCAAUUAUAAGGAGCUCUUUAGGUAGGACAAGUGGCUCUGCAUUAUUAUCCCCAAAGUGGAUGUAUUUGAAAAUAAAGCCAAAUGCUAAGAAAAUUAACAAACUUAAGGAGUACACAUUUUAUAAGGAACAGAAAAAAGUUUGUAUGAGUCUCUCAAUAUACCAAAAGGAUUAUUCUGACUUGUAUCUUUGCAGUUUUCUGUUAUGCUGAUUCAUUCCUUUUGACUUUGAAUAAUCUUUUUACUUCUUACCUUGAAUUCUAGCCCAGUUUUUUUUUUAACAUAAAUCUGUUAUCUUACACUAUCUCAGAGAAAAUAAGCCAAAGUUGUCGUAUCUUUUUUCUAGCUUCUUCCUCUUCGUAACUUUAUUUUCAGAAUUUAACUCAAGAUUCCCUAAUAAUUGACUAUGAGUUUGAUUUCUGGAUCAAAAAACUUUUUAGGCACAUUCCGCAGUUUCCUAAGCUUAUUGUUGCCUUGACAAUAUAUUAUGUAAGGAAUUAAGCUGUUUCUUGAUAUCAUCAUUGAUAACUCCAUUGAGUUAGACCUACUAACCUCAGUGUGGCUAGUAUUUAUCUUUAAAAAGAGUUUUCCAUUCAUGACCAUUUAAACAGUCCCUGAAGCUAUGAAUGUUCUUUUAAUUUUAUUCCAGCAUUGCUAUUAAGUUACUGCAGCAUUUCUAGUGAGCUGCUCCUUCAGAAGAUCUUGCACAGUAGAUGGAUCUUUCUUCUUAGCUCUACUGUAAUCAAGCUAUUUCUUACAUUUCCUGUAGAUUUGUAUCAAAAACAUGUAGUUGGUUCCCCUUCUGGUUCUCCUCAAGUGUCUGUUGUCAUAUAUUGGUUGGACUUUAGUAACUUCUGAUGUAGAUAUGUUUGGUUUUGUGAUUUGUUUAUCAGAAAGCACUGCUUCUCUCUCUCUAAGAUUCUGCUGAAGCUCUGCAGAGUUCCCCAUCCACGCUUUGAUGUUAAGGUACUGCACAACAGGAACAGCUUGUUCUCCAGGCAUUUGGGGAUUUCUCUCUUUAACUCCCCAAGGUAUGGUUCUAAUAAUCUUAUUCUCCGAAUCCUUCCCAACGGGUGCUCUUCUGUGUUUCUUAUUGACUCCACAGCAUGGAUCCAUUUUGCUUUCCUGUCAAACAUUGAGCUGUUCCAGUAGUGCCUCAUUCAGUUCUCUGGUUCUUCCUAUUAAUCUUCUUUUUUUUUUUCAGUCUGCAGGUGGGGAAGAGGUAUUACAGUUAUUUAUACUGAUACUUAUAAAUCUUACUCCUCUCCUGUUUUAAUUUGGAGUCUAACUCAAGCAGGAAAAGCAUUUUGAACAGGGAUGAAAUUAAAAGGUUACUCAUAGUUUGAAGCUUUCUAAGAAGAACUAGAUUUUUUUAAAAUUCCUUCAGUGAUGGAAGUGUUCAUUUUAUGGUAAGUACUAAUAUACUUCAAAGGUAGAGGGAACAGGUGAAAGUCAAACCAGUGCUUCUGCUAAAAAUUGAAAGCCAGCCUAUCAAUGCUCUUUACUUUCAGAGUAAAACUGACAAGUUUCCUGAAAUAUCUAGUUCAAACGUGUUGUUUGCCAGCAGCUAACAGGCGUUUGUUUCCAAAGCUGGUGGAAGCAGUUUUCAUUCUUCCUGCCUCAGUGAUUGAUUUGUUUCUUUCUUUUUUUUUUUUUCCUUUCAGGGAACUUAAUUGCAUUAUGUUUUUUUCAUAAAUAAACACAUCAAAUGUCACGAUAUUAGCAUAAUCAUAAAAACGUCGAGUAUUCGCUGCAUUUGCAAUAUGUCACAGCUUACCAUAGAAUGUAUUUUUUCUUCCAAUUAACACAAGUCUCUGGAGCGUGACUCUGAAUGGGCAGCUCUUAAAAAGGUGGCAAUUGGUUCCAACAGUUUAUUCCCCUUAGGGAAAAGAAUCGUUUGUCCCUAAAGCAGGAUAAUGUUGGUCCUCAAAACCAGUAAAUCCUGAAGGAAUACACAAAUAUAUAUGGCCACUUAAGAAGGGGAAAUGUUACUGACCCUGUGGUUGCAUUCUGUGCAAGCUCAUGCUGUGUCUGGCUGACCCCACUGAUCUCCUUGCACAAGAACAUAGAUUACAAAUUUCUGUGCCUGUCAUAAUCCUCAUACUAUCAUUUGUGCCACGGGUAGUAUUAUUUAUUCUUUAAUACAGGUGGUUGACUGAUGCUAUAUAUUUAAGAUGACUAAAUAAGUUAAAAAGAAGCAUGUACAUAUUAAUACAUAUUUUUUUGUCAUGUAUCUAAACUUGUAUAGACUGUCGCACUGCCUGCACUAACUGCAAUAGCAUUGUUUUAGUCAGUAAUUUCCUGAAAGAAUUUGGGAGCGUGAAUUUCAAUGGCAAGGAUGUAAGUCUGUGAAAGUGGAAGUUUCACAUACAGUCAGAUUUUUUUGAUGGUUAAUUUAUGAUGUAAAGCAAAUAUUAUAAACUUAUGUCCAAAGUUUCUUCUUCUUUCUUGGCUGUUAUAGAGGGAAAUAGCCACAGAAUUCAAUCCACUUAUAUACUUUAAAAUUUGGAGAUGGGAAUCCAAUUUAUUAUCCAUGCAGUAAUUUGCUUCCCAGCUUUGUUUUUGAUCAUGCCCAGAGCUCUUCCACUUGAUUUGUGAUUGCUAUCUUCAUUAAGCUCAUGAAUGCAAAGGUAAGAGAGACUGCUGCCUUAAAAGGUUCCUUGGCACUGGUUUUUCCAUGCAUGGAAGGACAUCUGGUAUGACCAUUGGAGAGGAAAGCAAGUGUGCUGUGGGCUGGGUGGCCUCAUCCCUACUGCCUUUGAACUGCUUGCUACAGGUUUUGCUGGUGAGUACACUGCUGCAUGGCAGCACAGCUCUGUGUUUCUGUCCUUGUUUGGACGGGCAGGAAAUUCCCAUUUGCACUUGUGGGAAAUACAGUGGGCUACAAAUAAGGCACACAGCAAAAAGUGCCAAGAAACAGGUAACCUCCUCUCUCUGGAUAUAUUUAUGGAAGGUGAGAGCCCCUCCAUGUAUGCCGAGCAGUCAUUAUGGACAGCCUCUCCUUUUGGCCUUCCUAAUGUGUCUUAGUCCUCAUCCUUUAAGAGACAGAAAUCACAGCUCUCUUCUGGGUUCUCUGUUCUGUUUUAUGGGACAGGCAAAACAGUGCCAGCUGAUGGUGAUAUGCCACUGGUGGAUGCCCACUGGACAGGGGCUGCAUCAGAUGGCUUACUUGAUGUGGUGAUAAGUGCUGCUGAUAGUGCUGGUUAAGAGUUUAAAACAGCUGGAUCUGUGUCCUGUGACCACUCUUCUGACCCACUCUGUCCAUACAGAUUACUUUUGAGACGACUUUUCCUUAUUUUUGUACAACUCACUCCUUGAGCACGUCUAGUGUUCGCUGACAGAGACCACAUGCAGUUGCUCGUGCCUCCCCAUGAGCUGAAGGGAACUGAUGAUGACUUGGGGUCUGAGAGCUGAAGUGAAUGCAGGGAGAUGUGCACACACCCACUUAUUGCAGCGGGUGGGAAGGACAGAUCUGCUCAUUCAUCCUCCUUCACCUCUCUUUACAUUCUUCUCUGGCCUCUGAAAUUUGAUGACUUCUGUAAUUUUCAAACACCUCCACCUUUUUCCUUGUCUGCUAGGUAUCGCUUUGUAUUCCCUGAAGUGAUGAUGGGAUUAUGUCAGAGAUAUCAAAGGAGAUGGCUUUGGCAGCAGUCAGCAGUGAUCGUAAAAUAGUCGCAAGUCAGAUUUUGUAAUCCAUCUGCUGCACAUCCAGGCCCCAAGGAUGGAUUCAAAUAUACGUGUGAAUGUUUCAGAAAAUAUUCCACAUAACUUUGCCAUAGGAAUAACAUCUUUCAAAAUCCAAGCACCAAAGUGUUUGCAUUUGCCUAAUAUAUAUUUUUCUGAUUGUUAAAUUUGACUCUGUGCUCUGUUGUUUCAGCAAGUAGGAGCAGGUCCUGCCCUGAUCUCGAGGACGUGAGGAGCUAGAAGCAGGGCAGUGUGCCUCUAUGGAGCAGUGAGGCCAAUGGAAAUAAGCAGGAGUCAGGCAUACAGGAAGUGAAUCUGAUCAAUGAGGAAGGAACAAUUGUUUUUACGAGAUCACUUUCCUGAGCAUGACUGCAUACCAAUCCCUUUCCAAAGACUGAAUUCAUAUAUCCACUGCGGAAAAGAAAUGUUCGUAUUCAUGAGUAUGAGGAUUCAUACUUACCAUGCUGCAGUUUUGCCAGAGGACUGGUGAUUGUCAUACAGCAAGCAGUUCAAACCAGGAAUCCCCCUGGGCUGAUCAAACAUUCCCUAAAGUGUGGUAGAAGGCAGGAAGAAUGACACUUGCUAAUUUGAAUUUCAGAACACACCUAAACCGCAUUCUGAUCUCCAGUUCGUAGUCACUGGUCUCAAUGGUGACCAGAAGAUUGUGAGGUGGAAGCAGGUUAGAUUGAUGGAAAAGCUGAUACCUCUUGUGGAAUGGUCAGAAAUGAACAUGAAAAUGAUGAAUAGCUAUCUCCCUCAGAUGUCCUUCCUUCACUGAAGACAGAAAAUGGAGAUCCAGAUUUCCCCAGAGGAAUGGAGUUUUAAUCUGAAGUGUAUGGAGGUUUGGGCCUUGUUUGUAUCACCUGCCCCAAGGCAUAUGCCUAUGCCUUGGCAACUGAACUACCCUUGUGUCUUCGCUGUCUGCAUGGACUUGAGCUGAGAUUCAGACUCCAGGGACUGGCAUCUCAUGCCUAUGCUUGUCCCCAGCAGUUUACUUACUUGGAUGGACAGAACGCUCAUCAAAAUCAGCAAAAGUUAUUUCCAUUAUCUUCUCUGUAUCACUGGCCAAGAGAGUGACUGGCUUGUUUCAGGGGUGAAGAAGAUAUUGCAGGAAUGCUGUGUAACAACUGGGCCUGCGGCUUCUGGAAUAAUGAUUGACUCGGAGAGAAUUUUGCCUUUUUUUUUUUUUUUUUUUUGGUGAAACUGCUGUUGUCUCCCAGCACCUGUCUUCAGACACUGAGCUGUAAUGUCUAUGUCAGUGAAUAAAAAUGAUCCACAGUGAAGAGACAGGAGAAUAAACUUCAAUCUGAGGAAAUGCAACUGACUGUCAAAAAAAACCCACCACACUAAAUUUUGUAAUUUUUCAGAUAAAAUCAUUAGGAAAUUUUUUUUACUUCUGGAAAAAUAAAAGAUUCUCCUCCAGAUCCUCUCUUUCUAAGGCUUUGUGUGCAGGAACACAGGGUAUGCUAGAGGAGGUGGCCCAUUCUUUUGGACCACUUCAGAACAGUAAAUUCCAGUUGCCAAACCUGCUUGUGUGUGGAAACUCUAAGCACACAGAAAAGUGUUACAUGGUUCAUGGACCUGAGCUGUCUGCUGGAAGAACAGUGAGGAAUGAUAACAAUGAUAAUAAAUUUGCUUUUACUGCUAAUCUCUGUUGUAAUAAAUUUAUCCUGUAUACUUACACAAAAA